rnacentral:rRNA from 1 species
CUGUAGGCUGCAACUCGCCUACACGAAGUUGGAAUCGCUAGUAAUCGCGGAUCAGCACGCCGCGGUGAAUACGUUCCCGGGCCUUGUACACACCGCCCGUCACACCAUGAGAGUCUGUAACACCCAAAGCCGGUGGGAUAACCUUUAUAGGAGUCAGCCGUCUAAGGUAGGACAGAUGAUUAGGGUGAAGUCGUAACAAGGUAAC